UCUUGGUCAUUUAGAGGAAGUAAAAGUCGUAACAAGGUCUCCGUUGGUGAACCAGCGGAGGGAUCAUUACCAGAGUGCCCUAGGCUCUCCAACCCAUUGUGAACAUACCUAUCGUUCCCUCGGCGGGCUCAGCGCGCGGUGCCUCCGGGCUCCUGGCGUCCGCCGGGGACAACCAAACUCUGAUUUUAUUGUGAAUCUCUGAGGGGCGAAAGCCCGAAAACAAAAUGAAUCAAAACUUUCAACAACGGAUCUCUUGGCUCUGGCAUCGAUGAAGAACGCAGCGAAAUGCGAUAAGUAAUGUGAAUUGCAGAAUUCAGUGAAUCAUCGAAUCUUUGAACGCACAUUGCGCCCGCCGGCACUCCGGCGGGCAUGCCUGUCCGAGCGUCAUUUCAACCCUCAGGACCCCCUUUCGGGGGGGACCUGGUGCUGGGGAUCAGCGGCCUCCGGGCCCCUGUCCCCCAAAUUGAGUGGCGGUCGCGCCGCAGCCUCCCCUGCGUAGUAGCACACCUCGCACCGGAGAGCGGCUCGGCCACGCCGUGAAACCCCCAAUUUUUUAAGGUUGACCUCGGAUCAGGUAGGAAUACCCGCUGAACUUAAGCAUAUCAAUAAGCGGAGGAAAU
rnacentral:rRNA from 1 species